rnacentral:rRNA from 1 species
GACGAAGGAUGCAAGCGUUAUCCGGAUUCAUUGGGUUUAAAGGGAGCGUAGGUGGACUUGUAAGUCAGUGGUGAAAUCUCCGAGCUUAACUUGGAAACUGCCAUUGAUACUGUUAGUCUUGAGUACAGUUGAGGUGGGCGGAAUGUGUCAUGUAGCGGUGAAAUGCUUAGAUAUGACACAGAACACCGAUUGCGAAGGCAGCUCACUAAGCUGUAACUGACACUGAGGCACGAAAGCGUGGGGAGCAAACAGG